rnacentral:rRNA from 1 species
AGCACUCCUACGGGAGGCAGCAGUGGGGAAUAUUGCACAAUGGGGCGCAAGCCUGAUGCAGCCAUGCCGCGUGUAUGAAGAAGGCCUUCGGGUUGUAAAGGUACUUUUCAGCAGUGAGGAAGGUGGGAUAUGUUAAUAGCAUAUUCAUUUGACGUUAGCUGCAGAAGAAGCACCGGCUAACUCCGUGCCAGCAGCCGCGGUAAUACGGAGGGUGCGAGCGUUAAUCGGAAUUACUGGGCGUAAAGCGCAUGCAGGUGGUUUGUUAAGUCAGAUGUGAAAGCCCGGGGCUCAACCUCGGAAUUGCAUUUGAAACUGGCAAACUAGAGUACUGUAGAGGGGGUAGAAUUUCAGGUGUAGCGGUGAAAUGCGUAGAGAUCUGAAGGAAUACCGGUGGCGAAGGCGGCCCCCUGGACAGAUACUGACACUCAGAUGCGAAAGCGUGGGGAGCAAACAGGAUUAGAUACCCUGGUAG